GAUGAACGCUGGCGGCGUGCCUAACACAUGCAAGUCGAGCGAGAAGUUUGAAAAAUGAGUUUUCGAACAAGUGAUUCAAACGGAAAGCGGCGGACGGGUGAGUAACGCGUAGGCAACCUGCCCCGUGCAGAGGGACAGCCUCGGGAAACCGGGAUUAAGACCUCAUGAUAUCGGGUUAUCACAUGGUAAUCCGGUCAAAGAUUUAUCGGCAUGGGAUGGGCCUGCGUCUGAUUAGCUAGUUGGUGAGGUAAGGGCUCACCAAGGCGACGAUCAGUAGCCGGCCUGAGAGGGUGAACGGCCACACUGGAACUGAGACACGGUCCAGACUCCUACGGGAGGCAGCAGUGGGGAAUAUUGCACAAUGGAGGGAACUCUGAUGCAGCGACGCCGCGUGAGUGAAGAAGGUCUUCGGAUCGUAAAACUCUGUCCUUGGUGAAGAAAGGACGGUAGCCAAGGAGGAAGCCCCGGCUAACUACGUGCCAGCAGCCGCGGUAAU
rnacentral:rRNA from 1 species